CCUANGGGAGGCUGCAGUAACGAAUCUUCCGCAAUGCGCGAAAGCGUGACGGGGCAAUGCCGCGUGCAGGAUGAAGCCCCUCGGGGUGUAAACUGCUGUCAGGGUGCAGGAAAGAAAUGACCAUACCCAAAGGAAGCACCGGCUAACUCUGUGCCAGCAGCCGCGGUAAUACAGAGGGUGCGAGCGUUAAUCGGAAUCACUGGGCUUAAAGGGUGCGUAGGCGGAUGCAUAGGCGCUUUGUGAAAUCCCACGGCUCAACCGUGGAAUUGCUUGGCGAACCAUGCAUCUUGAGGUUGGUAGAGGUCACUGGAACGAUAGGUGGAGCGGUGAAAUGCGUAGAUAUCUAUCGGAACGCCAAAGGUGAAGACAGGUGACUGGGCCAAAUCUGACGCUGAGGCACGAAAGCGUGGGGAGCAAACGGGAUUAGAUACCCUANUANUC
rnacentral:rRNA from 1 species